UACGUAGGGGGCUAGCGUUGUCCGGAAUCAUUGGGCGUAAAGCGCGCGUAGGCGGCCCGGUAAGUCCGCUGUAAAAGUCAAAGGCUCAACCUUUGAAUGUCAGUGGAUACUGCCGGGCUAGAGUCCGGAAGAGGCGAGUGGAAUUCCCGGUGUAGCGGUGAAAUGCGCAGAUAUCGGGAGGAACACCAAUGGCGAAGGCAGCUCGCUGGGACGUGACUGACGCUGAGACGGCGAAAGCGUGGGGAGCAAACAGG
rnacentral:rRNA from 1 species